GGAGGCAUGGCGGGCCAAAAGGCAACUUUUGGGGCAUAAAAACAGGAAUGCCUAUUCUCAUUUAGGGCCCCAGGAUCCAGGCUUGAGGCUGGGGCCUUUGCAUGGAGAUCAUCCUCUUCUAUCCAGUAUUUCACUGUGUCCUGUCCAUAUCAUUUUUUAGUAAUGGAACCCUCACUCUGAAUUUUAGCAGAGCACAUAGCCCAAGGUAGAGACUAAAUUUCCCACCCUACCCCUACAGCAAGGUAUGGGCCUGUAAAUUCGUUCUAGCCAAUGGGAUAUGAGCAAAAGUGAUUUGUGCAAUUUCAAAGUCACUUCUUUUUUAAAGCAAAGUGUUCCUCUUUGCCCACACAUCCUGAAACAGCAUGUUUGACCCAUUGCUGGAAACCACAAAGGAAAGAUGGACAGAGUCAACCCCUCAGCCUGGGUUUCCGGACUCAGCACGCACAGCUACCUUUCUACCCUGGACUACUCACCUACCUCUGGACUGUUGUGUGAUAAAUCACUUUUAUCAUAUUUAAGCUAUUUUGUCUUGGGAUCUCUGGGUUCCAGUACUUUAGGUACUACCCCAACUAAUAUACUGAUCUUACUAGACU
rnacentral:lncRNA from 1 species